UACGAAGGGGACUAGCGUUGUUCGGAAUUACUGGGCGUAAAGCGUGCGCAGGCGGUUCGUUAUGUCCGAUGUGAAAGCCCCGAGCUUAACUUGGGAAUGGCAUUGGAAACUGGCGGGCUGGGGUGCGGCAGAGGGGGGUGGAAUUCCACGUGUAGCGGUGAAAUGCGCAGAUAUCCGGAGGAACACCGGUGGCGAAGGCGGCUUCCUGGACCGACACUGACGCUGAGGCGCGAAAGCUAGGGGAGCAAACGGG
rnacentral:rRNA from 1 species